GGAUUUAUAUGACCGCGAUGACAACUGGCCGGCGCCAGUUCGUAAUGAUCUUCGUGUCCCAUUCGUGUGCUCUGUUCUCCCUGAUCGAACCGGUGUGUACCGACCUUCGUCCGUUCUCCGACCAACCUUGGUCACGGGGAGUGCUGGACCCUAUCCCAACUGUCAACGGGCAGGAGGCGGGGUACACGCUGAGCUGGUUAACCCUAACCCAGAUCCUCAGAACUGUGAGAACAACGCUCUACCAGCCUGAGUGAAAUGACCGUCACAUCCAAAUGAGUUACUGUCCGGCUCGCCACUCUACGACUGGGCCAACGUCAUGUAUGGCCUUCGCUACCACAACGAGACUCGGCAGAGCGACUUGUUAAGCUCCGAAAAAGAUAGUGCAAACUGCAUACAAGCACCAGUGAGAAAAGCUUUGAUUUCAAGAAUGUGGUCCACGCGAGAAAAACAUCCCCAAUUCUGUUGUCAUGAUUCAGCAGAAUUCCGCAUGGCUCGCUCACAGACUCAUUUUCAUAAACAGGCCGCUCUCAAAACAUUUACCUUGUUGUGUAAUUUGACACUUGACUGGUGGGCAAGCAAUCCAGAGACCCGAACUACUGUGGGUGCAUACAAGCCUUUAAAAAAAAAAAAGGACUGACUGUAUCCAGUUGUUCAUUUAUGGCA